UACGAAGGGGGCUAGCGUUGCUCGGAAUUACUGGGCGUAAAGCGCGUGUAGGCGGCCCUGCAAGUCGGGUGUGAAAUCCCACGGCUCAACCGUGGAAGUGCACUCGAAACUGCAGGGCUAGAGUCCUGGAGAGGAAGGUGGAAUGCUUGGUGUAGAGGUGAAAUUCGUAGAUAUCAAGCGGAACACCGGUGGCGAAGGCGGCCUUCUGGACAGUGACUGACGCUGAGACGCGAAAGCGUGGGGAGCAAACAGG
rnacentral:rRNA from 1 species